GUACAGCACAUAAAACCUCCUGCUCAAAAACUCCAGGCCUCAAGGGCCUGUUUUCCAGCAAACCCGUCACGGCAGAACACAACACAACCUGCUCCAGGUGAUCAGCAGCUGAAUGUCUGUA
rnacentral:lncRNA from 1 species